UAGGGAAUCUUCCACAAUGGGCGCAAGCCUGAUGGAGCAACACCGCGUGAGUGAAGAAGGGUUUCGGCUCGUAAUGCUCUGUUGUUAAAGAAGAACACGUAUGAGAGUAACUGUUCAUACGUUGACGGUAUUUAACCAGAAAGUCACGGCUAACUACGUGCCAG
rnacentral:rRNA from 1 species